AACGGCAGUGGCGGAGCCAGAAAA
rnacentral:sRNA from 1 species